rnacentral:misc_RNA from 1 species
AAAAAAAAAGGCGAACGUUUGGGCUUCGGCCUGAUUUAGUAGUCUUUUUUCUUUUAAACCCAUUCCUUAAUACUGAAUAUACUGUGGGGACGAAAGUCUCUGCUUUUAACUAGAUAGCAACUUUCAGCAGUGGAUGUCUAGGCUCGCACAUCGAUGAAGAACGCUGCGAACUGCGAUACGUAAUGCGAAUUGCAGGAUUCAGUGAGUCAUCGAAAUUUUGAACGCAUAUUGCACUUCCGGGUUAGUCCUGGAAGUAUGCCUGUAUCAGUGUCCGUACAUUAAACUUGACUUUCUUCCUUCCGUGUAGUCGGUGGAGGAGAUGUCAGAUGUGAAGUGUCUUGCGAUUGGUCUUCGGACCGGCUGCGAGUCCUUUUAAAUGUACUAAACUGAACUUCUCUUUGCUCGAAAAGUGGUGGCGUUGCUGGUUGUGAAGGCUGCUAUUGUGGCAAAUUGGCGACUGGUUUGUCUGCUGCGGCAUUAAUGGAAGAGUGUUCGAUUCGUGGUAUGGUUGGCUUCGGCUGAACAAUGCACUUAUUGGACGUUUUUCCUGCUGUGGCGUGAUGGACUGGUGAACCAUAGCUCGGUGGCUUGGCUUUUGAAUUYGCUUUGCUGUUGCGAAGUAGGGUGGCAGCUU